ensembl:antisense Gm10863 predicted gene 10863
GAGAGAAGCCGCCUUGGAUGGACAGAGGGACGGAGCAGCAAGCAUCCGGCCUCCCCGGCUUCCCUGCAGCGGUCUCCAACUGCUGUCUGCCCGCUGCCCGCCUGCCUGGCAUCUCUCUCCCGGUGACCUUCCUGCUGCCCUUCAGGCAGAACUAUGGGCUCAGCCCCAACCUCUACCUCCCCCCCCAGGUCAGCCAGUCCAUCAGACAUCUGAGGCUGUCUCCAGGCUGGACAGGAGGCUUGGGGUGAAUUGUCUCCAUAACCGCAAGACCCUCUCCAGCUGUGCCCUCCUGUGACUGAGAGUCUGAGAGCAGAGGCAGGAAGUGCUUCCUAUAUGGCAAGCCAGGGACUGAAACUUACGAUUUGACUGGACAAUCUAUAAGGUGCUAGCUGCAUUCCUGGCCUGGGAGCAGGGAGCCUGUCUGACCCCUGUGUCACACUG